rnacentral:lncRNA from 1 species
AACAUGUAUUUUACCACUACUAUAACAACCCUAAUCCCCUUAAACUUACCAAUCAUUACUACCUUAGCCAACCCCUGCAAAAAGAUUCAUACCCAUACUAUGUAAAAAUAUCUAUUGCAUGCACCUUUAUUAUCAGCCUCAUCUCUACCACAAUAUAUAUAUUUAUAGACCAAGAAUAAUCUCAAAGUGACAUUGAAUAACAAUCCAAACUCUUAAACUCUCACUAAGCUUCAAACUAUACUAUUUCUCCACAGUAUUUAUCCCAGUAGCGCUAUUUGUUACCUGAUCUAUUGUAGAGUUCUCAAUAUGAUAUAUAAACUCAGACCCUAAUAUUAAUCAAUUUUUCAAAUAUUUACUCAUUUUCCUCACCAAAAUAUUAAUUCUAAUUACUGCCAAUAACUUCUUUCAACUUUUUAUCGGAUGAGAAGAUGUGGGAAUUAUGUCUUUUUUACUAAAUGGCUGAUGAUACGGCCGAACAGACGCUAAUCUAGCAGCCCUCUAAGCGGUCCUGUACAACCGCAGAGGCGAUAUUGGCUUUAUUUUAGCUAUAUAGCAUGAUUCCUCUUAUUCUCCAACACAUGAGAGCUUCAAAAAGUAUUUAUUCUAAAUCCUACCUCCAAUCCCUUUCCAUUAAUUAGUCUUCUCCUAGCAGCAGCAGGAAAGUCAGCUCAAUUUGGCUUUCAUCCCUGACUUCCUUCCACCACAGAAGGCCCAACUCCAGACUCAGCCCUACUCCACUCUAGCACUAUAGUUGUAGCAGGGGUUUUUCUACUUAUCUGCUUCUACCCUUGAAUAGAAAAUAACCUAUUAUUCCAAAACUUUACAUUAUAUUUAGGGGCUAUGACCAACGUAUUUACAGCAAUCUGUGAUCUAACACAAAAUAACUCAAAAAAAUCAUAGGAUUCUCUACCUCAAGCCAACUAGGCUUUAUAAUAGUCACAAUUGGCAUUAAUCAAUCACACCUAGCAUUUCUUCAUAUCUGCACCCACAGCUUUUUUUAAAGCUAUGUUAUUUGUAUGUUUAGGACCCAUCAUCCAUAAUCUCAAUGAUAAACAAGACAUCUGAAAAAUAGGAGGACUAUUCAAGACUUUACCCUUCACUUCCUCCGCCCUUAUUAUUGGCAGCCUCACACUUACAGGUGUGCCUUUCCUCACAGGCUUUUAUUCUAAAGACCUCAUUAUCGAAAUCGCAAACAUGUCAUAUUCCAACACCUGAGCCCUUUCUAUUACUCUUAUUGUAACCUCCCUAACAGCUGUCUGUAGUACCUGAAUUAUUUUCUUUGCUCUGAUAGGACAACCUCACUUCACAACUCUGAUUCAUAUUAACGAAAAUAACCCCUUCCUAAUUAACUCAAUUAAGCAUCUAAUAAUUGGCAGCAUCUUAGCUGGAUUCCUCAUUACCAAUAGUAUUACUCCUACUUCAUCCCCCCAAAAAACUAUGCCACUUCACCUAAAACUCACAGCCCUAGGUGUGACUGCCUUAGGCCUCUUACUAGCAAUGGAGCUAAAUUUUAUAACUAACAACCUUAAGCUAAAUUAUCCAUUACAGACAUUUAACUUCUCCAAUAUAUUAGGUUUUUACUAGCCACAAUCCACCAUACAACCCCCCACCUCAAGUCUAUUUACAAGCCAAAAUCUGGCCUCACUUCUACUAGACCUAAUUUGAUUAGAAAAGUCCACACCAAAAACCAUUUCACAAACCCAAAUAUCAGCCACCAUUACUGUAUCUACUCAAAAAGGCCUAAUUAAACUUUACUUUCUCUCCUUU